CUUCAUCCACGGGUAUAAAUUCGACGAUCGGCACUAUACCGUUUAGUUAUUCUGAAACAUGUAUUUCAAAGUUCUGUUAGCUACCGUUCUUCUCUGUGGCGCCGUGGUUGUGGGGACAGAGUGCUACUAUUGCAACAGUACGAAUCACUACUGCAAAACACUCCAAUCGGCAACCUCGGACACCACGUAUUGCAGUGGCAACUGCAUUAUGUACGUUCAGACCAAUACUCAACGUACUAUCAGAGAUUGUGUCGGCAGUGGAUGUCCCGCCUCAAACCAACGUGACUGCGAGAUUUGUUCCCGAAAUCUGUGUAACGACGCGGCUUUGUAUUAGAAAGACUGUCGGUUGUUUUUUUUAUUUUGUAUGUUGUAUAUAUGUUUGUCAAUUAUGGACAAAUAAAAUCGAUCGUCCCUUAAA